AUUUGGUUUAUUCAUUUUGUGCAGUGUUGAGGUGGUGAAGGGUGCAAUACACAAUGUUGUCAAGGUGCCCCCAGACAAGCAGGUGCUGCUGGCCUCUGGGUGAUGAAACACUGGACUCCUGCAAGCGGGUGUGUCAUUACUCGGCCGGCACAGACUCGUCUCCCAUCUUUCUGUUCUCCAAGGUGGCCAUUGAGGGAGCAGCCCCCCAACCCCCUCUGUGCAGCCUGGCAGGGACGGCGACCUCAGGGCACAGGUGGAGGGGUGCCUCAACAUGCCAGCCACCUACAACAGUGUGGUGGUGCGGACACAGUUAGCACAGCAGUUUUACGAGCACGCCAGUGAGGUCACCAGAACGUGCCGCCAACUUGUUCACAACCAGCUUCUGCAGCAACAAGGCUGGGCAGUAGUGGUGGCCAACUUGGAAGACGUUGUGGCAGCCUUCAGAGCAAGACAUGAUGCAUUCCAGCAAAACUUUGUAAUCUCCGUGGCCGGGAGGAGAAGGUCGCCCUGCUUUACUUUUUUGAAGAGGACCUGAAGCUACUGGCAAGGAUUCCAGUCUUCCCUGAACUCUUGGGGAAGACACAAGAGGAAGAGGAAGAGGAGGAAGCUGGGAAGAAGAGGAGGACAAGCACAGCACAGAAGAAAGAGGAGGAGGAAGAGAAGGAAGAUGAGGAGGAGGAGGAGGAAGAAGAGGAAGAGCAUGAGAAGGAGAAGAGGGCAGGAGGAGAAGGAGAAAAAAGAGAAACACAGCAGCAGACUCGGGUACUGUUACAGCUCUGCUCCCUCCUACAGGACACGUUCCCAUCACCUUCACGUCCUGGACACGUGCACAAACUUGUGCCUGGGCAGUCUCACUGCAGCAACUGCCAGUGCUGUGACUGGGUGGCAGGAGGGAGGGACAAGCUGGCCACCCUCUCUGUCACCACCUGCUGGGGAAAGACCACCAUUAUCAUCACCUUUUUCCUUUUUUUUUUUUUUUUUUUUUUUUUCUUUCACAAUUUACAAAGAAUAUUAAGAGAGUUUGUUUUGUUAGUGUUGUGUUUGUUAUUAAAUGAUGUGUUGAUUGUGUUGUUGUUGUUUAUGUGUUAGUUGUUGUUGUGUUUUGUAUGUGUGACUGAUGAAUAAAGGCAGUCCACACUUA